rnacentral:rRNA from 1 species
UAUUGCGCAAUGGGCGAAAGCCUGACGCAGCGACGCCGCGUGAGGGAUGAAGGUUUUCGGAUCGUAAACCUCUGUCAGAAGGGAAGAAAGUGCGUGGUGCUAAUCAGCCGCGUCUUGACGGUACCUUCAAAGGAAGCACAGGCGCACCCCGUGCAAGCAGCCGCGGUAAUACGGACGGUGCGAGCGUUAAUCGGAAUUACUGGGCGGAAAGCGCACGUAGGCUGUUGUGUAAGUCAGGGGUGAAAUCCCACGGCUCAACCGUGGAACUGCCCUUGAUACUGCAUGACUGGAAUCCGGGAGAGGGUGGCGGAAUUCCAGGUGUAGGAGUGAAAUCCGUAGAUAUCUGGAGGAACAUCAGUGGCGAAGGCGGCCACCUGGACCGGUAUUGACGCUGAGGUGCGAAAGCGUGGGGAGCAAACAGG